AUUUCUCCGGUGACUUCCUAGACAAAAGUCUAAUACAGUUCACAUGUCUUGAAAUAAUAGAGAGAGAGCUGCAGGAUGUUGUUCACCUCUGGAACACACACAGAAUUCGCCCAUCCAGAAAUGCUGUGUCCCCAUGUGGACGUCCAGUGAUGAUGUACACCCUACCCCAACUUUUUGGUGCUAGGGAGUACCUUAAAGAGGCAUCCCAACAGAAGAUACAGGCUUGUAGGGAGGAAUGUCGUGAGAGAGGACCAUAUCCUUGUGAUAAUACAGUGUUUGACAUUUGUUGCCUUGCCAUGGCAGAAAACAGUCUUCAUCCACCAACCUCUCCAGAGGAAGCCAUUGAUCUUUACAUGUUCUUACGUGCUUACAUACGUACCCAAAUUUAAUAAUCACAAGUUGUUCUACUGGAUCAAAUGACUGAAUGUGAGCACCCACUCAUAGCCAAAAAAACAACAGAAUUGCCGUUUGGACGGAAAAGGAUAUAUACCAUGACAUUCACUGUAAAUGUUUGACAGAAGUACUGUGUUUAAGCAAUCGAUAAUAGACAACUCUUUCAUAAUGGACAUCUCCCAACUGAGCUCCAUAUCAUCUCUUUUUAUUCAUCAUUAUGUAAAAAGUACAUCUCAUCAACAGAACUGGGAAAAAUCCUGUACCUGCAAAUGAAAGGUAUCACAUGUUGCCAUUGUCAAAAAUGGCACAUUUGUCCUUAUGGUGGAACUAUUUCGCAUCACCAGAUGUGGUCUGACACACUUUGGGCUCAUUGUAAACAGGGCAACCUACAUGAUGUUUGGAUGGCUUUUAAAUCAAACAUAUUAUUGUAUCUUGUUAUCAUGUGUCUCUGGGCUGCACAUAAAGCACUUUUUUACACAAUUAUUUGGCAUCAUAUAAAUACAUGCUAAACCAGUAAAACAUUUUUUCUCCCCAGUGUGAUUUACUGUGUAUGUAGGAAAUAGACCUAUUUGUUAAUGUAGAGAUGACUGUUUAAAUAUGUUGUCUAAAGAGUACUGGUGAAUGCAGGAACUGCAGUGCAGUUGUCAAAACUCAGUAAUUCUAUUGUGUGAGACAAAAUUUGUGUGUUAUCUGCAGUAAAGACCCGAUUUGUUUGAAAACAUCUGUACAAAACGAGAGAAACCUGUGCUUUUUAUUUGUAAAAAGCAGAACACCUUCUAAUGUACAGUGCUGUAUGUUAGAACAGAUUUCCAAACACUGGCAAAAUUUAGAUUUAACAUGAGCUGACAUUACCCCAGGGUCCAAGUUAAAAUGCAACUUUACAAGAACAUUUCUUUUAAAUUGUCCCAAAAAGUAUGCUCCUAAACUGCUAACAGAAAUGAUGGCUUACAUAAAAGUACAUAAAAAUACUGGUACAUGUAUCUAAAUCACUUAAAAAUGAAAACCACAUGCAUUUAUAACAUACAUUGUGUAAAAGGCUUAUAAUUGUUUUUUGGUUAAAUGGACCUUAAAGUAUACUAACAAAAUGUUCAGCCACUCAAUAUGUUUCUACAGACAGUUUAAGUCUGGUAAUAACAGCAACUGCAUAUGAAACGUUGCAAAACAUGUUGCCAUUGUCAAAAUGGCAAAAUUGGUCCUCAUGGUGGAACUAUUCAGCAUGACCAAAUGUGAUUUGACACACUUUGGGCCCACUGCAAACAGGGCAACCUAAAUGGCAUUUAAAUGGUCCAGUAUCAUUAUCAAUAAAUCAAACUGAUUAUUGAAUCUUA